GGAAGAAGCGAAAGUGACGGUACCUGCAGAAAAAGCGCCGGCUAACUACGUGCCAGCAGCCGCGGUAAUACGUAGGGCGCAAGCGUUAUCCGGAAUUAUUGGGCGUAAAGAGCUCGUAGGCGGUUUGUCGCGUCUGCUGUGAAAACCCGAGGCUCAACCUCGGGCCUGCAGUGGGUACGGGCAGACUAGAGUGCGGUAGGGGAGAUUGGAAUUCCUGGUGUAGCGGUGGAAUGCGCAGAUAUCAGGAGGAACACCGAUGGCGAAGGCAGAUCUCUGGGCCGUAACUGACGCUGAGGAGCGAAAGGGUGGGGAGCAAACAGGCUUAGAUACCCUGGUAGUCCACCCCGUAAACGUUGGGAACUAGUUGUGGGGUCCAUUCCACGGAUUCCGUGACGCAGCUAACGCAUUAAGUUCCCCGCCUGGGGAGUACGGCCGCAAGGCUAAAACUCAAAGGAAUUGACGGGGACCCGCACAAGCGGCGGAGCAUGCGGAUUAAUUCGAUGCAACGCGAAGAACCUUACCAAGGCUUGACAUAUACGAGAACGGGCCAGAAAUGGUCAACUCUUUGGACACUCGUAAACAGGUGGUGCAUGGUUGUCGUCAGCUCGUGUCGUGAGAUGUUGGGUUAAGUCCCGCAACGAGCGCAACCCUCGUUCUAUGUUGCCAGCACGUAAUGGUGGGAACUCAUGGGAUACUGCCGGGGUCAACUCGGAGGAAGGUGGGGAUGACGUCAAAUCAUCAUGCCCCUUAUGUCUUGGGCUUCACGCAUGCUACAAUGGCCGGUACAAAGGGCUGCAAUACCGCAAGGUGGAGCGAAUCCCAAAAAGCCGGUCCCAGUUCGGAUUGAGGUCUGCAACUCGACCUCAUGAAGUCGGAGUCGCUAGUAAUCGCAGAUCAGCAACGCUGCGGUGAAUACGUUCCCGGGUCUUGUACACACCGCCCGUCAAGUCAUGAAAGUCGGUAACACCUGAAGCCGGUGGCCCAACCCUUGUGGAGGGAGCCGUCGAAA
rnacentral:rRNA from 1 species